UUGAACGCUGGCGGCAUGCUUUACACAUGCAAGUCGAACGGCAGCGCGGGGCAACCUGGCGGCGAGUGGCGAACGGGUGAGUAAUAUAUCGGAACGUACCCAGAAGUGGGGGAUAACGUAGCGAAAGUUACGCUAAUACCGCAUACGAUCUACGGAUGAAAGUAGGGGACCGCAAGGCCUUAUGCUUUUGGAGCGGCCGAUAUCUGAUUAGCUAGUUGGUGAGGUAAAGGCUCACCAAGGCGACGAUCAGUAGCUGGUCUGAGAGGACGACCAGCCACACUGGAACUGAGACACGGUCCAGACUCCUACGGGAGGCAGCAGUGGGGAAUUUUGGACAAUGGGCGCAAGCCUGAUCCAGCAAUGCCGCGUGAGUGAAGAAGGCCUUCGGGUUGUAAAGCUCUUUUGUCAGGGAAGAAACGGUAGAGGCUAAUAUCCUUUGCUAAUGACGGUACCUGAAGAAUAAGCACCGGCUAACUACGU
rnacentral:rRNA from 1 species